GGGAUAUUGCACAAUGGGGGAAACCCUGAUGCAGCAAUGCCGCGUGAGGGAAGACGGUCUUCGGAUUGUAAACCUAAGUAGUCAGGGACGAAGAAAGUGACGUUACCUGAAGAGUAAGCUCCGGCUAACUACGUGCCAGCAGCCGCGGUAAUACGUAGGGAGCGAGCGUUGUCCGGAUUUACUGGGUGUAAAGGGUGCGUAGGCGGGUUUGCAAGUCAGGCGUGAAAUACCGAGGCUUAACUUCGGAGCUGCGCUUGAAACUGUAAAUCUUGAGUGAAGUAGAGGCAGGCGGAAUUCCCAGUGUAGCGGUGAAAUGCGUAGAUAUUGGGAGGAACACCAGUGGCGAAGGCGGCCUGCUGGGCUUUAACUGACGCUGAGGCACGAAAGUAUGGGGAGCAAACA
rnacentral:rRNA from 1 species